CCUACGGGUGGCUGCAGUGGGGAAUAUUGCACAAUGGGGGGAACCCUGAUGCAGCAACGCCGCGUGGGUGAAGAAGUACUCCGGUAUGUAAAGCCCUGUCAGCAGGGAAGAAAAUGACGGUACCUGACCAAGAAGCCCCGGCUAACUCCGAGCCAGCAGCCGCGGUAAUACGUAGGGGGCAAGCGGUAUCCGGAGUUACUGGGUGGAAAGGGAGCGUAGACGGUAAGGCAAGUCUGGAGUGAAGGCCCGGGGCCCAACCACGGGACUGCUUUGGACACGGGGUUGCUGGAGUGCAGGAGGGGGAAGCGGAAUUCCUGGUGUAGCGGUGAAAGGCGUAGAUAUUAGGAGGAACACCAGUGGCGAAGGCGACUUACUGGACUGUAACUGACGUUGAGGCUCGAAGGCGUGGGGAGCAAACAGGAUUAGAUACCCGAGUAGUC
rnacentral:rRNA from 1 species